rnacentral:rRNA from 1 species
GCUUACGGCCAUACCACCCUGAACACGCCCUCUCGUCUGAUCUCGGAAGCUAAGCAGGGUCGGGCCUGGUCAGUACUUGGAUGGGACCGCCUGGGAAUACCAGGUGCUGUAAGCU